rnacentral:rRNA from 1 species
CUACGGGACGCAGCAGUGGGGAAUAUUGGACAAUGGGGGCAACCCUGAUCCAGCCAUGCCGCGUGUGUGAAGAAGGCCUUUUGGUUGUAAAGCACUUUAAGCAGUGAAGAAGACCUAACGGUUAAUACCCGUUAGCGAUGACAUUAGCUGCAGAAUAAGCACCGGCUAACUCUGUGCCAGCAGCCGCGGUAAUACAGAGGGUGCAAGCGUUAAUCGGAAUUACUGGGCGUAAAGCGAGCGUAGGUGGCUUGAUAAGUCAGAUGUGAAAUCCCCGGGCUUAACCUGGGAACUGCAUCCGAUACUGUCUAGCUUGAGUACAGGAGAGGAGAGUGGAAUUCCACAUGUAGCGGUGAAAUGCGUAGAUAUGUGGAGGAACAUCAAUGGCGAAGGCAGCUCUCUGGCCUGAUACUGACGCUGAGGUGCGAAAGCGUGGGGAGCAAACAGGAUUAGAUACCCCAGUAGUC